GCGGAGGUAGCCAAGCCAGGUCAAAGGCGCCAGACUUAGGAUCUGGUCUUGUAGGAGUUCGCGAGUUCAAAUCUCGCCCUCCGCACCA
rnacentral:tRNA from 1 species